rnacentral:lncRNA from 1 species
CCGACCCUGCGCCGUGCCCAGCCCCUCUGCCCUCCUGUUACCCCGGGACCUCGGGCCGCCAGCCCCUUCCACGUGCAGGCUCCUGCUGCUCUCGCGGGGGCUUUUCGUGUGUCCCCCGAGAUGUCGAGGAAGCCAGAGUCCAGCUCUCCCACGGGUGGCUGUGAUCCUUCUUCCUGGGGAGUCCUGCUGUCCCUGACUAGGGGCACCUGCCCACCUGUCAGCUGCUCCUCCCUCGGCUGGUCCUCCUGGGCUCUGAUGGCCCCAACAUUUCUAGCUCUUCUCACCCAUAGUGCCCCGAGCUUCAUGCAGCUGCAGCAGCAGCAUGAACAGACUGAGAUAGCGGCUUACAUGUAACCGGAAGCUGCAGAAAAACAUCUUCAGACAGCUGAGACGGCUCCCAGGACUCAUGCCUGGCACAGACACCAUCUGCCUGGCAGGGCAAAGAAAGGCGUCUAUGAGUGUGGGAGGAUUCCGAGUCUAACACCCUGAGCCCAGCCAGGAAGGGGCCAGGAAGGCCUCCUCGUGAACAACGAAUGAAACAGAACCCAGAUCUCAGACAGGGCGGGGAAGGGGAGGGGUACCAUGUCAAGCAGCACUCUGUGUAAGUCGGCACCUGCGCACACUGGCAUGCAGACGUGUGUAUUGUGCGUGUAUGGACAUGUUAGAAAUGGAUGUGUGCAUGUGUCUGCAUGUGUUUGUGCAUUUAUGCACAGACACUACACGGGCAUGCACAUCAUGUACGUAUAUGUUUGCAUAUGUGCAUGUGUGUACGUGCAUGUGUUCGUGUGUGCAUGCACACAGCAUGUGUGUGUGUGUAUACUUGCAUGCAUGCUAACAUAUGGUGGAGAAUAAAUAAUGAUCACCUCUCUGGAACUGGGGAAAGUAAGUGUUAAACAGAUUUUCGACAGGAAAUGCUGCUGCAAGGAAUUCAUCCGUAGGCUAGCACUACAACCUGGAGGCAGGGAGCAGUGAGGAGUGGAAAUCUUCCCAUCAGAAGUGAAGAAGGCUGGAUACGGUGGCUCACACCAGUAAUCCCAGCACUUUGGGAGGCAAAGGCAGGAGGAUCACUUGAGCCCAGGAGUUUGAGACCAGCCUAGGCAACUUAGCAAGACCUUGUCUUCAAAAAAAAAAAAAAAUUUUACAAGGAACUACACAGAUGGCAAAACUUAAAAAAAAAAAAAAAGUGGGAAGAGGGGAGAAAGGGAGAUCAAUGUCUUCUACAGAUUUCAUCUUGUCGGGUGGAGAGUGUGAGGAGUAGAGCCAUGUGGUGGGAAACUGUUGGUGUCUUGUUUGCGAAUGACUUUGGAACAAAGACCACCUGAUAAGCACAGUUAAGGAAUGAAAACACACAGGGACUUCCCAGGGAGCCAGGAGGACACUGGGGGAGCAUGAACACCUGCCUUUCCCAUGGGGCCCUGGUGUGCCCAGCCCCCCACUUCAUGUCUGACCCACGUGCUCUCUGGCUGACCUCCUGGGACUCGCACCCGGCCCCCACUUGGUAUCUGAGCCAUGUACUUCCCGGCUGACCUCCCGCAACGUGAAGACUACUCUCGCUCCCUUCAAGGCCACUGUCCCCACCGCAGCCAGAGAGGUGUUUUAUAGUUCAAAUCCUGCCCAGGCACCAUCUUGCCUAAAGGCAGCCCUGAGCCGGAAUCUGUGUGCUUUGCUGAUGGGACUGUAAAAUGGCGCAGUCACUUUUGAAACAGUCUGACAGUUCCUCAAAAGCUUAAACAUAGACUUACCACAUACCCAGCAAUUCCACGCCCAGGCUCUGCCCCAGGAGAAUUGAAAACAUCUAUCCACACGGAAACUUGUACACAAAUGUUCACAGUUGCACUAUUUAUCAUCAUCAGGAUGCCUAUAAUUGAUGAACAGAUGAACAAAUUGUGCUAUAUCCAUAUAAUUAAAUAUUAUUCAGUCAUAAGAAUGAGGCCGGG